AGGGAGCUACUGUGUGGCUGUGUGGCUGAGCCUGGCUGGAGGAGAAUCGGGCUGCUGUGCCACAGGGCAGGAGAGAUCGUCUGCCAUGCCAGAGACCCCAGGCUGGACUCCACUCGGCACCAGCCAGGGUCCAGACCCCUGCAAGCAAACCAGGCUCAGAUUUAGAAGCAGCAACAUGGGCAGCAGGGCCCCUGCUCCUCCUGAGUUCCCUCCCACUCUGCUUCACACCCUGGGUGUUCCUGCACACAGGCCAAGCUGGACCCUUUCCCAGGCCAUCCCUCUGACCCCUGCAGAGCUGACCCUCACACCCAGGCCCUGCUGAGAAACCCCCUUGAUCUUCGGGAGGAAAAGUUCUCAGCGAACAGGAGUGGUCUGUCCAGUGCAAGUGUGUGCCUGGUGUUUUCCACAAAGAAUCCAACCGUAAGAAUUUCUGGAGGUGCUAAUGGUCUGCUGCUGAACCGAGGAGAUGUAAACAACAUUUCUCAGAUGACACAAGCCAGGAGGGCCGUCCUUUCUGGGCCUUCCUUUCCUCCUUGACUUUUGCUGCCAAAUAAUAAUAAUUUCCCCUCCUGAGAUUUUGACGGGAGCGAGAAUUUAGAGUGUACCCACAAGUUCAGUCUCUGUGGGACCAGGCCUGCUUCCCCUCGGCCUGGGUCUGUCUGCUGCUCAGCGGCUGAUCUGCAGGUGUGGCAUGUGCUGUCCCCACCAGGUCCCCACCAGGCUUCUCCACCAAACCUGGCUCUCUUUAGCUGGGUGGUGAUAGCUGGUCAACCUGCUGUCUUAUCAGGUGACCCUGGUCUUUUAGGACACAUUAAUGAUGGGAUUUAUAAGACCCGUGUCAGGAGGUUUUUUAGUGAAGAGCCUCGAUUGUUAAAAUGAACUUCAGAAACUUCCAUAUGGAAAGAGAACAGCAGCUCUAUGCGUGUGCAUUUCUUUCUGUACACAUCAGGCUAGCCUCCUGUGGCUGGGGCACUUCCUCCUGGGUCACAUUCCUGAGAGCACAUGAUGAUGUCCCUGCCAGGGAUCUUAAUCCCUUUGAGGUUGCUUUGCAAACUUCAAAUCUUCAAGAGCUUAGUGUUCAGGUUCAGUGUCAGCCACAAACGGCCCAUGACCAUGACGCACAAGGAACGCCAGGGAGGCCAGGCCCUCUCGGCUGGCGGAUGAGCACAGAAAAGCUGGCUCAGGCAGUCCCAGGGUGGGCCAAGUCCCUGUGGGUGGACCCGAGACUGGUGGAGCGGUGGUGAGAAAGGACUGCUUCCAGAGGCGCCCGCCCCAGUGAGCGAGCAUCUCCUGUUGGGGACAUUAUUGAUGGGUGUGUUAGACAUUUUUAAACAAAAUAAUGUAUUUAGAAGA